UUUCAAAUUAUAAAUUGACUGCAUCUAAUUACAUUACAAAGCAUCACCUCAUCAACAUUUUUUGUUCAGGGCUAAUGUUUCAUGGAUUGCGAGGUAAUAGUUCCGCUUUCCGUCUGAUCACCUGGAUGCUGUUUCUUAGCAAUGGCUUAUUAUGACUCUGAGGAUGACAGGGUGGAAAUCAAGGUUAAACUUGGAGAUACAUGAAGCACUUUUAAAGAUUUCAGAGGAUAUAGUUUCUAAAGUUAUCACUGGUUCUGUUCUUGACGAGCUUGCUGACUUUAUUUCAAAGAUGACAAAAUCCUACCUCAAUCUGGAUUCGCAAACUACUCAAUCUCGUGCAGACUCAACUGCAUAGAAUAAAAAUAAAUAAAAAUAAAAAUAAAAAAGCUACACAAAAUGUGGCUGAUGGUUAAAAACUUCAAAAAUCUUAUAGAGGCUCAUAUGACUAUUAGGGGUGAAAUGGAAGAGCGGGCUGAUGAACAAAACCGAAGGAACUAUUUGAGUAUGCUGCAAUGGAUCUCAUAGUGGGAACGGGAAGAAGGCUUGAGACGUUGAAGGCUCUUUAGCAUAUAAUAUGUAAUUUAUAUAUAAGAAGCAUGCCAUGAUAAAAUGUGUGAUGUAUAAUAUUGCUAGAUAAUCUCGUGAUUUUAUGCUAUUGUGUUUAAGUUUUUACAUUAACAAUAUUAAUGAUUUAGACUUUA